ensembl:lncRNA
UUUUAACCAGAGAGCUAUUUAGGUGCUCUCUGUUUGUAUGUAUUUGUGAGGAAGGAGGAGACUGAAGCUGUGACCGACCUAGUAUGACUUUGUGCCUCUUUGUAGACUGUUUUUUCUCAUUUCGACAUCUGGGCUUUUCUUUCUCAAUGGAGAUUCCUGAAGACAGCUAAGACAUGAGCUUCCUUGCCACUGGCUGCCUGCAAGGUGGUUGGCACUGGGGUACUCAGACUGUAGUUCUAAACAAAGUGAUAUAAAAACUUUUUUUCCCAACCUGAAUUAUGCAAGGAGAAGAACAAGUAGUCCUUUCCAUCAGUGGAAACACAGCUGAAGGGAACGUAGGGCAGAGAGAAAAUGGACAGUACUCUGAAGGUGUACGCAGACUAGAGGAAUGUCUUCUACUAAUACUGCAUCUAUAUAAAAUGGCUGGAACAUACAGCCAAAUAUGGCCUUGGUCAAGCUGGACCCUUGAGAGAGUCUUCUCAUGCUGUCAAUAGAAGCAAAUACUACAGAGCAGAAGAGAGCUAACUGUCCCUUUGAUGCUGUAAAUGAUGACAGUGAAGAAAUCAGAGUGGGUAUAGCUGUGAACAUGGGCCAUAAAAGGCUGCAGCCACUGCCGGGAGCUUACUUUAGAAACUCACAGGGCAGAUCUCCAAGAUCACAGUGUCUGCCAGGCAGAAGAUGGUGAAAGCAUGAAACAGCCACAACCUUCUUCCAUGAGGGCAUGAGGCAAGAUGGUUAGAGACCGCAGAUGGCAAACCAGUAGUCAUUUGUAUUGAGGACACAGCAAAGAGCAUCUGCCUGGCUGUGGAGACACCUGACAUAACCAGGACAUCCAAAGAAGUUUGCUGCAUGGCAGCACUUUAGACAUCUCCAGGAGAGAGAGCGGCAUUCAUUUGAAGCAGGCGGUAAGCGAGAGAUGUGUUCAUCUUCAUCAUGGCCCACUGGACAAGGCCCAGUGUGUGAACUCAGAAACAGACCUGACAAGUCCUUGCACAGGUAAAGCAGGAAGGAAUGCAAGCAUUUUUAUGUCCUUUCUGACCUUUUCAUACAUUUUUACAGCCACAGACCUGGGCUGAAGAACUCUAUGUGACUGACUACAAAGCAUACACAGCAAACCCCACACAAUUAUGAGUUUGAUCUCAAGAUGAAAUUGGAGGAGCUAGGAUCUGUGUGUGUAUAUAUCUUUGCGCACAGUGGGGACUUCAUCUCUGUAUGUUAUGGGAGAGCUGGCCCUAAAACUGGUAAAAAUUUCACUGAGGCUCAAACAUAACAAAGCCAAAUCAGACCAUUAUUUAUUGUUUGCAAGAAUGGCUGUGGUAUUAAGAUGUCAAAUUCAGUGAAAUUUAAAAAGUUACAAAGUAAUGAGUUUAAAGCACUCUUUUUAAAAAGGAUUAAAGACGUUCCAAAGCAAAGCCUGCAGUCCCCCAUCUCUUGUAAUGGAAUGGCAGCAAGACUAGCCACCCUUAACCUUCCUCUCAUUCACUAAGUCUCACGCUGUGGCUAUAGACAAUUGCUCCAAGGCUGAAUUUAUGUCAGAUAAGUUCUGAGCCCAUUAAUGAUUCGGGCUUUGAUUUGUGAAAUAGAGGUGCCCCUGGGAUCUUUAAUCUAUCUGUAAAAAGCUUUUUGUAAGUUUUCUGAAAUGUCAUGUAGGAAAUCCAUGUACAGAGGGACCAGAUUAUGACCCAAUUACCAGCUGUGCUAAUCCAGAGUGAUUUCACUAAGUUCAGUGGAGAUGAUGAAGAUUUAAAACAAUGUCAGCUUGGAUCAGAACUUAGCUUCUUGUCUCCUGUUCUAGCUUGAGAUCUAAAUAUUCCAGUUGAAAUUUUAAUUAUAUGUUCUUUGUUAUUGUUGUUGUUGUUGUUGUUGCAUAUGCAAGGCACUAGAAAAAUAAAUCUUUCCUUGUUUUAU